rnacentral:rRNA from 1 species
GACGAACGCUGGCGGCGUGCCUAAUACAUGCAAGUAGAACGCUGAAGAGAGGAGCUUGCUCUUCUUGGAUGAGUUGCGAACGGGUGAGUAACGCGUAGGUAACCUGCCUUGUAGCGGGGGAUAACUAUUGGAAACGAUAGCUAAUACCGCAUAACAAUGGAUGACACCUGUCAUUUAUUUGAAAGGGGCAAUUGCUCCACUACAAGAUGGACCUGCGUUGUAUUAGCUAGUAGGUGAGGUAAUGGCUCACCUAGGCGACGAUACAUAGCCGACCUGAGAGGGUGAUCGGCCACACUGGGACUGAGACACGGCCCAGACUACUACGGGAGGCAGCAGUAGGGAAUCUUCGGCAAUGGGGGCAACCCUGACCGAGCAACGCCGCGUGAGUGAAGAAGGUUUUCGGAUCGUAAAGCUCUGUUGUAAGUCAAGAACGGGUGUGAGAGUGGAAAGUUCACACUGUGACGGUAGCUUACCAGAAAGAGACGGCUAACUACGUG